UUUACUCUUUCCAUUUCUUGUCUUUCCAUAUUUCCAAAAUCUUCAACAAUUUCAAGAUGUUCUCUAUUGCCUCUCUCCUGAAUCAACAUCUAUGCCUCCACCUUCUGUGGGUGAUUUGAAACCUUGCUUCUUUAAGACAUCUGCAUCUCCUUUUCACACAAAGAUUUUCACCAUACCAAGUUAUAUGAUGGAAUGGAGUUCCCUCUGCCUACUCAAGAUAGGGCUUAAAGCUGGCCGCCAAGGAGCAAGGAUAAAUCUGAUGUUGAGCCCCUUAGUUUUUGGUGAUUAUUUUGUGUGCUGACGUAGUAUAACUAGAGAAGAAGGGGAACCACAAAUAAAAGAAGCAAAAAGCAUGAAAUCGGAAGCAAAUAAAGAACAAAGUGUGGCUGAUAACAUCCAUGACACGUCGUCAGCCUGGUGAUAGGCUGUCAAGGAUGCCGUCAGCCUUAAAUAGAAGAUGGAAGUUGCAGGAAGUUUUGUGGCGACAUUCAUGACAUGCCGUCAAGAUGAUGAUAAGGCAUCACCGUGGUCAUCAACCUUAGGGAGCAGAAGCUAAACUUGCAGAGAAGCUAACGACGUCCGUGAUAGGCCGUCAAACUCCUGAUAGGCCGUCACGAGCGCCGUCAUCUAUUCCGAAAAAAAUUUGAACUUUACUUUUAUUUCCUUAUUUAGGGUUAACUAUUUAAAGCCUUGUUUUAGGUUUUUUUUUAUUCAUUCGAUCAUUAUGGAUUGGACAUAUCCUGCAAGAUACAAUAUACGAUAUUUCUCUCUCUCUCUCAAAAACCAAUAUUUUGGAGUUUUGUCUUGUGAUUCAAUUCAAAGUAUACUUUUGAUUUUCUUCA